rnacentral:rRNA from 1 species
AUUGAACGCUGGCGGAAUGCUUUACACAUGCAAGUCGAACGGUAGAGGGGGCAACCCCUCGAGAGUGGCGAACGGGUGAGUAAUACAUCGGAACGUGCCCAGUCGUGGGGGAUAACGUAGCGAAAGUUACGCUAAUACCGCAUACGAUCUAAGGAUGAAAGCGGGGGAUCGCAAGACCUCGCGCGAUUGGAGCGGCCGAUAUCAGAUUAGGUAGUAGGUGGGGUAAAGGCUCACCAAGCCAACGAUCUGUAGCUGGUCUGAGAGGACGACCAGCCACACUGGAACUGAGACACGGUCCAGACUCCUACGGGAGGCAGCAGUGGGGAAUUUUGGACAAUGGACGCAAGUCUGAUCCAGCCAUGCCGCGUGCAGGAUGAAGGCCCUCGGGUUGUAAACUGCUUUCGUACGGAACGAAAAGGUCUCUCUUAAUACGGGGGACUCAUGACGGUACCGUAAGAAUAAGCACCGGCUAACUACGUGCCAGCCGCCGCCGUAAAAC